rnacentral:rRNA from 1 species
UACGGAGGGUGCGAGCGUUGUCCGGAAUCACUGGGCGUAAAGGGCGCGUAGGCGGUUCGUUAAGUUGCUGGUGAAAUCCCGGGGCUCAACUCCGGGGCUGCCGGCAAGACUGGCGGGCUAGAGCACGGUAGAGGCGGAUGGAAUUCCCGGUGUAGCGGUGGAAUGCGUAGAUAUCGGGAAGAAGACCGGUGGCGAAGGCGUUCCGCUGGGCCGUUGCUGACGCUGAGGCGCGACAGCGUGGGGAGCAAACAGG